rnacentral:misc_RNA from 1 species
GAUGAAGAACGCAGCGAAAUGCGAUAAGUAAUGUGAAUUGCAGAAUUCAGUGAAUCAUCGAAUCUUUGAACGCACAUUGCGCCCGCCAGUAUUCUGGCGGGCAUGCCUGUUCGAGCGUCAUUUCAACCAUCAAGCCCCCGGCUUGUGUUGGGGACCUGCGGCUGCCGCGGGCCCUGAAAACCAGUGGCGGGCUCGCUGUCACACCGAGCGUAGUAGAUUUUCAUCUCGCUCAGGGCGUGCUGCGGGUUCCGGCCGUAAAAAGCCUUAUUUACCCAAGGUUGACCUCGGAUCAGGUAGGAAGACCCGCUGAACUUAAGCAUAUCAAUAAGCGGAGGA